rnacentral:rRNA from 1 species
GACGAACGCUGGCGGCGUGCUUAACACAUGCAAGUCGAACGGUAAGGCCCUUCGGGGUACACGAGUGGCGAACGGGUGAGUAACACGUGGGUGAUCUGCCCUGCACUUCGGGAUAAGCCUGGGAAACUGGGUCUAAUACCGGAUAGGACCACUUCCUGCAUGGGUGGUGGUGGAAAGCUUUUGCGGUGCGGGAUGGGCCCGCGGCCUAUCAGCUUGUUGGUGGGGUGAUGGCCUACCAAGGCGACGACGGGUAGCCGGCCUGAGAGGGUGACCGGCCACACUGGGACUGAGAUACGGCCCAGACUCCUACGGGAGGCAGCAGUGGGGAAUAUUGCACAAUGGGCGCAAGCCUGAUGCAGCGACGCCGCGUGAGGGAUGACGGCCUUCGGGUUGUAAACCUCUUUCAGCACCGACGAAGCGCAAGUGACGGUAGGUGCAGAAGAAGGACCGGCCAACUACGUGCCAGCCGCCGCGGUAA